CCUCUCAUGGCGUAGUGGUUAACGCGCCCCAACUAGAGAUCGGGGAGUCGUGAGUUCGAUUUUCACUGAGAAGA
rfam:Aedes aegypti strain Liverpool supercont1.49 genomic scaffold, whole genome shotgun sequence.